CUUCUAAAUCUAUCCAUCUCUCUCUAAUUUCGCGAUAUUCAUCCUUCAAUAAAAUAAAGCAAUAGUGAAAAGUGAUAAAAAAAUUAGUGAUAUUUUACGAUUGUUAUCAAUUUAUUUCAGUUAUUAGUGUUAGUUACGUAACAGAUUAAGAAAACGAACUGUUACCGUUUAAAAAAGAACUUUAUUUAACGUUAAAAUAUUUGUAAACAACGAUCGCACUGUGAUAAAGUAAAUCGACGAGAGAAUUAUAAAAAAAACAUGUUCGCGCGUUAAUUGUUGCCAUAUUCAAAAAUCGAAUGUGUUUCCAUUUGGAAAAUGUCGCAAGAAUCGACGAUGACGAAGAAUUUUUUGACCGUGACCAAUAUUGUUAACGAAGGUUUCAAAGGCGCCAAGAUCUCCCAGCUCGGGCUGUCCAAGUAUCUUUCGCAAUCACU